rnacentral:lncRNA from 1 species
GUACAAGCUUAGACAAGAAGGUGUUUGCAGAAGCUGGAGAAGACAGGUUGUGUCCAUCUUGCUGCUUUGUGCCAUACACAAGGCAUGGACAAUUAGAAAUUCUGAUCAGCUUCCAUCAGGAAAAUUUCACCUCUGAGUAAAGAGAAGUCUUACAUCUUGAGAUGAAUAGAAACAUCUCUUCUGCCUGGAGUUCCACAACACAUUGACAGUUCAUAAUUUCUGGGAGAUCAGAAAUCUUUACCUAGAUUUCAGUGCUAGCACCUCUAAUGCAGAUCACAUCCAGGAAGUUUAAGAUGCCGAGGUAAUGCAGUACUUUGUAUUGGAGCAAGGAAGGCACUGGGGCUUGAACUGAAGCUCUAAAGCACUUUGCUGUGUCAUCUAUCUUCAUUGUCCCUUCUGCAAGCCACAGAAACAGACACGCCCGGUCUGGGAACCAAAACCACCUAGCAACAGUAGCCUGCACGAGGGCUAGAAAUGCUCUGCCAUUUCAUUUAUCUUCUCUGUCCCUCCUGGCAACAGGAGAGACAGCAGCUGAAGGCACACCCCAUCCGGAAAUCAGAGACACCCAGCACUGGACUCUGAGUAACAGCCUGAAAAAAAGCCAUCCCAUCCAUCUCCCGCUUCCUGUCUGCAGCACUGCACCUGGCACAGGAAUCAGUUAGGUAAACAAAUGCCAUCACAGCUCUGAAAAAUGAUGUCAGCUCCCCAUGCUGAUGAGAAAUGCAGUCAGCCUCUUCAUACCACAGCGCAGUUCGUGCUUCCCACUACCACGUGAGCCAAGCCCGUUAGCUACAACCUCGUCUCACCAAGCACAUGCCUGUACAAAUACACCCCAUUCGCAGAGUGUCAAAAAUCAAGACUGGAUGCAAUCCUGACAUUGGUACCUGCAGACAAGGUAACAGACAUGUCAUCAUGAAGUUUUGGUGGGAGAAGAGAAAUGUAUUCUCCCCAGACUUCCUAUUAAAAGCAUCUUGGUCUACUCAGGCAUAUCAGCAGGUACAAGGUCUAACCACCUGUCACUUCAUUUAUUAUUGGAAUGUGCAAACUGGGAGGAUGCAGCUUCUAGAAAUUCUCACAGAGGAAAUACAAGGUAUAACUGCUAGAAAGACCUGCCUAGACGUGCUGUGCAAAAGAUGCUGA